rnacentral:ncRNA from 2 species
AGGUGUGGUAGAGGCGCGAAUGACAAUAGUACUGUGGAGAAGGCUGCGACAGCCGAUGAGCCCAUAGAAAAGGGGAUUUCGCCGAAGCCCAAAAUGCAGCGUGAAUUUUGGUGCUGGGCCUAUGGUUAAUAGCUGUAGGACUGUCACACGAUGAUUUCGAUGAAAUCCAUCGUGUGGAGAACUACUCCCAAC